rnacentral:lncRNA from 1 species
CUGCUGCCACUGCAACUAGACCCUGCUGUUGUUGCCGCCCUGUAAUUACCCUAGGGAAAUGACAAGGGUAAUGACGCCAAACAACAGGCACGAACGCAACAACCAGGGUCAUAAGAUAAUGCAAAGCCAAGCGCCAUGAAAAACCUAAAGCCCAUCCCAACCUUUUUUUCCUCCAACGCCUCCCCUCCGUCCUCGUCCAGUCCGCCUCCUCUCGUCGAGCCCAGACCUCCUCCCCAUCCUCCUUCUGUCAUCCUCCGCCAAGAUUCGCACACCUCCCCCUAGAUCCGG